CCUACGGGUGGCAGCAGUGGGGAAUAUUGGGCAAUGGAGGCAACUCUGACCCAGCAACGCCGCGUGAAGGAUGAAGGUUUUCGGAGUGGAAACUUCUGUCGCGAGGGAUGAAGAAUGACGGUACCUCGUCAGAAAGCCCCGGCAAACUACGUGCCAGCAGCCGCGGUAAUAGGUAGGGGGCGGGCGUUGACCGGAAUGACUGGGCGUAAAGGGAGUGUAGGCGGCAUAUUAAGUUAUGUGUGAAAGCCUGUGGCUCAACCGCGGAAUUGCAGAUAAAAAUGGUAAGCUGGAGUGCAGGAGAGGUAGGCGGAAUUCGUGGUGUAGCGGUGGAAUGCGUAGAUAUCGGGAAGAACACCGGAGGCGAAGGCGACUUACUGGACUGUAACUGACGCUGAGGCUCGAAAGCGUGGGGAGCAAACAGGAUUAGAUACCCCAGUAGUC
rnacentral:rRNA from 1 species